rnacentral:rRNA from 1 species
GCGUGGGGAGCGAACAGGAUUAGAUACCCUGGUAGUCCACGCCGUAAACGGUGGAUGCUGGAUGUGGGGCCCGUUCCACGGGUUCCGUGUCGGAGCUUAACGCGUUAAGCAUCCCGCCUGGGGAGUACGGCCGCAAGGCUAAAACUCAAAGAAAUUGACGGGGGCCCGCACAAGCGGCGGAGCAUGCGGAUUAAUUCGAUGCAACGCGAAGAACCUUACCUGGGCUUGACAUGUUCCCGACGGUCGUAGAGAUACGGCUUCCCUUCGGGGCGGGUUCACAGGUGGUGCAUGGUCGUCGUCAGCUCGUGUCGUGAGAUGUUGGGUUAAGUCCCGCAACGAGCGCAACCCUCGCCCCGUGUUGCCAGCGGAUUAUGCCGGGAACUCACGGGGGACCGCCGGGGUUAACUCGGAGGAAGGUGGGGAUGACGUCAGAUCAUCAUGCCCCUUACGUCCAGGGCUUCACGCAUGCUACAAUGGCCGGUACAACGGGAUGCGACGCGGCGACGCGGAGCGGAUCCCUGAAAACCGGUCUCAGUUCGGAUCGCAGUCUGCAACUCGACUGCGUGAAGGCGGAGUCGCUAGUAAUCGCGAAUCAGCAACGUCGCGGUGAAUGCGUUCCCGGGCCUUGUACACACCGCCCGUCAAGUCAUGAAAGUGGGCAGCACCCGAAGCCGGUGGCCUAACCCCUUGUGGGAUGGAGCCGUCUAAGGUGAGGCUCGUGAUUGGGACUAAGUCGUAACAAGGUAGCCGUACCGGAAGGUGCGGCUG